AAUACAACAACAACAACAACAACAACAAAGCCUUUUCCCACUAAGUGGGGUCGGCUAUAUGAAUCCUAGAACGCCAUUGCGCUCGGUUUUGUGUCAUGUCCUCCGUUAGAUCCAAGUACUCUAAGUCUUUUCUUAGGGUCUCUUCCAAAGUUUUCCUAGGUCUUCCUCUACCCCUUCAGCCCUGAACCUCGGUCCCAUGGUCACAUCUUCGAACCGGAGCGUCAGUAGGCCUUCUUUGCACAUGUCCAAACCACCGUAACCGAUUUUCUCUCCUCUUUCCUUCAAUUUCGGCUACUCCUACUUUACCUCGGAUAUCCUCAUUCCUAAUCUUAUCCUUUCUCGUGUGCCCACACAUCCAACGAAGCAUCCUCAUCUCCACUACAUCUACGUGUUGAUGCUUCACCGCCCAACAUUCUAUGCCAUACAGCAUUGCCGGCCUUAUUGCCGUCCUAUAAAAUUUUCCCUUGAGCUUCAGUGGCCUACGACAGUCACACAACACGCCGGAUGCACUCUUCCACUUCAUCCAUCCAGCUUGUAUUCUAUGGGUGAGAUCUCCAUCAAAUUCUCCGUUCUUUUGCAAGAUAGAUCCUAGGUAGCGAAAACGGUCGCUCUUUGGUAUUUCCUGAUCUCCGAUCCUCACCCCUAACUCAUUUUGGCCUCCGUUUGCACUGAACUUGCACUCCAUAUAUUCUGUCUUUGAUCGGCUUAGGCGAAGACCUUUAGAUUCCAACACUUCUCUCCAAAGGUUAAGCUUCGCGUUUACCCCUUCCUGCGUUUCAUCUAUCAACACUAUAUCGUUUGCGAAAAACAUACACCAAAGAAUAUCAUCUUAAAUACUAAGUUUGUGAUCUUCGCUAGAUUGCUCCGGUCAUUAGUGUGGAUAAGUAUGUAAAUGGAUAGAGACAGGAAGCAAACACAAGAUGUACGUGGUUCACCCAGAUUGGCUACGUCCACGGAGUAAAGGAGUUCUCAUUAAUUGUGAAGGGUUUACACAGUAUAUAGGUUCAAGCUCUCCUUUAGUGAGUACAAGUGAAUGAUUUAGUACAAAUGACAUUAGGAAAUAUUAUGGAAGAAUGAUCUCGUAAUCACGAAACUUUUAAGUACCGAAGUGUGGUAUCGUCUUCACUUGCCUUAUCUGUCUCAUAGGUAGAUGUGGCAUUUUCUUUGGAAGUACUCUUCCUCCCUCCAGGGGUGGUAUCUUUAACUGGUGGAGAUGCACAAGGUAAUGUAUCAAUUUCACUUGACGCUUACUUGUAGUUUCAGGCUUGGUCAAGCGCGAUACAAACCAUGUAGUAGGAGUCCCCCAAGUCGCCGAGCUAGGGGAUCUGCUGAAAGAGGUGACAGACAAGGUAAGCAAUCAGAACUCCAAGCAAUCAGUCCCAGAUCAGAAGUUUGAUUUCGAGUUCCGGCUGAUUGUUAUCCUUCUCCUUAUCUUGCAGGUAGCAUGAAGGAUAAAGAGAAGAAAAGGAGAAAAGGUGAUAUGAGAUACUUUUGCUUUUGAAGAAGUAACUUUCCACAGGCUUAUUCUUGAACUGGGCUGGAGGGUUUUCUUAUUUCCGCCAGAGUAUAAGGCCGACUGAAGAAUUUGAGGGUCAAAACAAGUCCAUCAAAUCUAGAGUACGUUCAACCCUGCUGAUAUGGGAUACUUUUGCUGUUGACAAAGUAGUAGAUGUAUCGGCACGUGUUCUGUUGCGCUUGUCUCCACAUGCUUCCUUGUAUCCUUCUCACUUGCCCUAUUUGUUCCUCAGGCAGAUGUGGUAUCUUCUCGGGAAGCAUAAGAUGUUGAAGAUGAGUACUCGAGAGCAAUGGGGUUCCAGGCAGUCAGUUCCGGACUGGAAGCUUGAUUCCAAGUGCUGACUGAUUGCUCUCUUUCUCCUUGUCUUGCAGGUAAGAACAAGGCCAAAGGAAAAGACAGGGAAAAAGCAUGAUAUGGGAUACUCUUGCUUUUAACCCUGAUGAUAUGAGAUAUUCUUGCUCUGGUGUAGCUUGUUUGCAGAGGUAUUCUCGGGGGGAAAGAAAGCUGAGUAUUUCGAGAUGCUUCGUUGGGAGUGCCCUCUCAGAUAUGAGGAAGGGUUGAGCAUUUUUGCAGGUCUGCCUGUCCGUUGAGGAUGGAGGUCGACAUAUAUAGGAGUCUCCCUAACAAGAAGGAGUAAUACUAUUCUUUUACCCUGCUUGGUCAUAGCACGAUAGUGGGAGCUGCCAGCUUCACGUGUUUUAACUCUGUCAGAGCACUUUGAAAAAGUGGUCUGUGGUAUCUAAAAAACUAAUGUUACGUGUGAAGAUUACAGACAAGCUUUAUCCAAGGAGAUCUGGCUCUCGAAGUUGAGAAAGCGGUGUGAGGAUUACAAACAAGCUUUAUCUAAGGGGCUCUCGAAGUUGAGAAAGCGGUGCCUUUUCGGUUUUCGAACAAGCAAUCCUGUCGGGGAUCUGUCUCUCGAGAUUCGGAGAACGGUGCCUCUUCGAUUUUUGAGAAAGCAAUCCUGCUAGAAGUCUGGCUCUCGAGAUUCGGAGAGCGGUGUCUCGUCGCUUUUUGAGAAAGUAAUCAUGUUGGGAGUCUGGCUCUCGAGAUUCGGAGGACGGUGCCUCUUCGAUCUUGAAGCAAGCAAUCUUGUUGGGAGUGUUUUCUCGAAUGUGAGUAAAGGUUAGGCCUGUUUGCUAGUCUACCUUGCCACGGAGCACAGAGGUUGACCCACAGGGACUUUCCAAUUAUCCAGCAGUAGUCCUGUUCCUUUACCCUUGUGGAUAAUAAUAUGGUAGCUAGACCUUCAAAAUUUAUGUGUCUAAACUUUGUUAGUGCUGUUUCUUUGCUAUUCUUUUACCCUUCUUGGUCAUAGCGAUGUAAUGGGAGCUGCAAGCUUCACGUGUCUAAACUUUGUCAGAGAUUUUUGGCAAAGUUAUCUGUGGUACCCGUGAGUUGAUGUUGCGUGUGGAAAGUGAAUGAUUGAACAGUAACAUUCACGUGCUUUCUACUUCACUAGAAAUCUUCGACAGAAUGCCCGUAAUUUCCGCAAAGUUGAGUGUGCAUGUGACAGGUGUUGACAAAGCUGAAAAAGCAGGUGCCUCUUCGAUUUCUGAGAUCGGCCCUCAUGGUCUCUGAGCAGCCCAGCUUUUGAGAAAGCAAGCACCUCUUCGAUUUCUACGAUCGACCUUCGUGGUCUUUGAGCAGCCCAGCUUUUGAGAAAGCAAACGCCUCUUCGAUUCCUGAGAUCGGCCCUCGUGGUCUCUGAGCAGCCCAGCUUUUGAGAAAGCAAACGCCUUUUCGAUUUCUGAGCAGGCGCCUUUUCGAUUUCUGAGCAGGCGCCUCUUCGAUUUCUGAAGCUCCAUCGAGUGCAGAUUUUUAUAGAGGCUGGUAUUAAGUUCCAAAGCACACUUGAAUCUCCACCAGUAGAAGCUCCCUUCUUGCAUUUCUAAGAUCUUGAUUUGUCCGACCUCUUUUCUCUUCAACACCUUUGAAAAUGUCUGGCCCCUCCGACCGUCGUUUUGACUGGAACCUUGUUGAAGAGGCAGCCACGCCUUCUCCAGACAACAUAUGGCGCCCAUCCUUCUUAUCCCCUACUGGUCCUCUUACCGUUGGGGAUUCCGUGAUGAAGAAUGAUAUGACCGCUGCGGUGGUGGCCAAGAACCUUCUCACUCCCAAAGAUAACAGACUACUUUCCAAACGGUCUGAUGGGUUGGCUGUUAAGGAUUCUCUGGCUCUCAGUGUUCAGUGUGCAGGUUCUGUGUCUAAUAUGGCCCAACGCCUAUUUGCUCGAACCCGCCAAGUUGAAUCAUUGGCGGCUGAAGUGAUGAGUCUCAAACAGGAGAUUAGAGGGCUCAAGCAUGAGAAUAAACAGUUGCACCGGCUCGCACAUGACUAUGCUACAAACAUGAAGAGGAAGCUUGACCAGAUGAAGGAAUCUGAUGGUCAGAUUUUACAUGAUCAUCAGAGGUUUGUGGGUUUGUUCCAAAGGCAUUUAUUGCCUUCGUCUUCUAGGGCUGUACCGCGUAAUGAAGCUCCAAAUGAUCAACCUCCGAUGCCUCCUCCUUCUAGGGUGUUGUCCAGUACUGAGGCUCCGAAUGAUCCCCUUCCGGUGCCUUCUCUUUCUGGGGCUCUGCCGACUGCUGAGACUUCUCCUAAGCAACCUUUGUGAAGGCUCCCUCUUGUUUGUUUAUUUUGACUCGUGUAUAUGUACAUAUUUGUAACUUCUUAGAGAUAUCAAUAAAUAAGCUUUGUUUCAUUUCAACGUAUUGUGUUAAAUACACCAAAGCCUUCUUCACUAAGUUCUUUGAAUUUUUCUUUUGUUGAAGCUUGUAUGUUGAAGCUUUGUGAGUGGAGCAUGUAGGUUGAGGUAGUGUUCCCUUAAUAUCCCGAGUGGGGAAAACUUCUCGAUUGGAGACUUGAAAAAUCCAAGUCACUGAGUCGGGUCGGCUAUAUGAAUCUUAGAACGCCAUUGUGCUCGGUCCUGUGUCAUGUCCUCCGUUAGAUCCAAGUACUCUAAGUCUUUUCUUAGAGUCGCUUCCAAAGUUUUCCUAGGUCUUCCUCUACCCCUUCGGCCCUGAACCUCUGUCCCGUAGUCGCAUCUUCUAACCGGAGCGUCAGUAGGCCUUCUUUGCACAUGUCCAAACCACCGUAACCGAUUUUCUCUCAAUUUUCCUUCAAUUUCGGCUACUCCUACUUUACCUCGAAUAUCCUCAUUCCUAAUCUUAUCCUUUCUCGUGUGCCCACACAUCCAACGAAGCAUCCUCAUCUCCGCUACACCCAUUUUGUGUACGUGUUGGUGCUUCACCGCCCAACAUUCUGUGCCAUACAGCAUCGCCGGCCUUAUUGCCGUCCUAUAAAAUUUUCCCUUAAGCUUCAGUGGCAUACGACGAUCACACAACACGCCGAAUGCACUCUUCCACUUCAUCCAUCCAGCUUGUAUUCUAUGGUUGAGAUCUCCAUCUAAUUCUCCGUUCUUUUGCAAGAUAGAUCCUAGGUAGCGAAAACGGUCGCUCUUUGGUAUUUCCUGAUCUCCAAUCCUCACCCCUAACUCAUUUUGGCCUCCAUUUGCACUGAACUUGCACUCCAUAUAUUCUGUCUUUGAUCGGCUUAGGCGAAGACCUUUAGAUUCCAACACUUCUCUCCAAAGGUUAAGCUUUCGCAUUUACCCCUUCCUGAGUUUCAUCUAUCAACACUAUAUCGUCUGCGAAAAGCAUACACCAAGGAAUAUCAUCUUGAAUAUGUCCUGUUAACUCAUCCAUUACCAACGCAAAAAGGUAAGGACUUAAGGAUGAGCCUUGAUGUAAUCCUACAGUUAUGGGGAAGCUUUUGGUUUGUCCUUCAUGAGUUCUUACGGCAGUCUUUGCUCCUUCAUACAUAUCCUUUAUAGCUUGGAUAUAUGCUACUCGUACUCCUUUCUUCUCUAAAAUCCUCCAAAGAAUGUCUCUUGGGACCCUAUCAUACGCUUUUU
rnacentral:lncRNA from 1 species